ACAGAGGGGGCAAGCGUUGUUCGGAAUUACUGGGCGUAAAGGGCGCGUAGGCGGCCCUCUAAGUCGAACGUGAAAUCCCUCGGCUCAACCGGGGAACUGCGUGUGAUACUGGCGGGCUUGAAUUCGGGAGAGGGAUGUGGAAUUCCAGGUGUAGCGGUGAAAUGCGUAGAUAUCUGGAGGAACACCUGUGGCGAAGGCGGCGCACUGGACCACAACUGACGCUGAGGCGCGAAAGCUAGGGGAGCAAACAGGA
rnacentral:rRNA from 1 species